rnacentral:rRNA from 1 species
UACGGGGGUGGCAAGCGUUGUUCGGAAUUACUGGGCGUAAAGGGCGCGUAGGCGGGGAGGUAAGUCGGGUGUGAAAUCCCUCGGCUCAACCGAGGAACUGCGCCCGAGACUGCCUUUCUUGAGUCCCGGAGAGGAAGGUGGAAUUCCCGGUGUAGCGGUGAAAUGUGUAGAGAUCGGGAGGAACACCGGUGGCGAAGGCGGCCUCUGGACGGUGACUGACGCUGAGGCGCGAAAGCGUGGGGAGCAAACGGG